AGAGUUUGAUCCUGGCUCAGGAUGAACGCUGGCGGCGUGGAUAAGGCAUGCAAGUCGAGCGCCCCGCAAGGGGAGCGGCAGACGAGGUAGUAAUAGGUAGGUACUUACCCCCAAGUCAGGAAUAACUAGUCGAAAGACUGGCUAAUACUUGAUAGUCUCGAAAGAGUAAAGAUUUAUCGCUUAGGGAAAGGCCUGCCCGGUAUCAGCUAGUUGGCGAGGUAAAAGCUCACCAAGGCUAUGACGCCUAGGGGACCUGAGAGGGUGACCCCCACCGAUGGAACUGAGACACGGUCCAUACACCUACGGGUGGCCGCAGUCGAGAAUCUUCCGCAAUGGACGAAAGUCUGACGGAGCGACGCCGCGUGAACGAUGAAGUCCUUCGGGAUGUAAAGUUCUUUUGCCAGGGAGAAAGUUUAUUGAUAGUACUUGGCGAAUAAGAGGUUGCUAAACUCGUGCCAGCAGCAGCGGUAAUACGAGUGCCUCAAGCGUUAUCCGGAAUCAUUGGGCGUAAAGGUUGUGUAGGUGGUCAUAUUAGUCUCUUGUUAAAUUCUUCGGCUUAACCGGGGGCAUGCAAGGGAAACGGUAUGACUAGAGGAUGCGAGGGGUCUACGGAACUCAUAGUGUAGCGGUAAAAUGCGUUGAUAUUAUGGGGAACACCAAAAGCGAAGGCAGCAGACUGGAGCACUCCUGACACUGAAACAAGAAAGCGUGGGUCGCGAAUGGGAUUAGAUACCCCAGUAGUCCACGCCCUAAACGAUCUUCUCUGGUUUUUCGGAGUAUCGACCCUCUGAGAGACGUAGCUAACGCGUUAAGAGAAGCGCCUGGGUAGUACGACCGCAAGGUUAAAACUCAAAGGAAUUGACGG
rnacentral:rRNA from 1 species